rnacentral:snRNA from 8 species
CGACUCUGGUUUCUCUUCAUUACGCACAAGCCUUUCGCCUUUUACUAAAGACUUCCGUGGAGAGGAACACUU